GAUGAAUUAUAAAAUAGAGAAAUAAUAUACUAUUGUAAAUGUUGUGGUUUAAAAAACAGCUAAGUAGAAGUAUAAUGUAUGAUCACUUAAAGUGCAAACCAUUUCCAAAUGGAUACACCCUUUGGGUACAUCGUGGGGAGUCCACUUGAUCACUUAUUUGCAUUGGUCUAACUUGGUUGUCAUCAAUGUUUGCAAUGUAAGUUGUUUGGAGUCUCAAUCUUGUGAACAAAAAGGAAUCAUCAUAUGAGGAUAUUUGACGCAAAACAAUGGAAAAGAAUAAAAACAAAGGAUGGAAACUCUCAAUCUGACUAAUCUCUCAAUCUCACUUUUGUUUCACGAAGGGUCGCUCGAGUUUUAUACUACCUUCUUUGAUGACAACACCACCAACUAUAGUGCAAGCGACAAAACUACCACUUUCUCAGGCGACAACACUGCCAAUAGUGCAAGCGAUAUAACCACCACCUUCUCUGAUGACAAAAUCACCAUUAGUGCAAGCGACAAAACCAAUACCUUCCAAAGACAUCCUCUCACUAUGAAGAUGUGGUGGAAGAUGAACCAUAAAUUGCUCAAAAAAGGAAUUCUACAUAUUGGAAUGUAGAAGUUAUGAGGCAUGACGUAUUUCAAAUACACACUUAAGGGUAACAGACGUACUUGAAGCUCCUCAUAAUGUUAUCAGGAUAAUAACUAGAUGGAAUUCAAAGUGGUAGUCGGUAGGAUCAGUUGUUGGUUUGUUAUGCGAUUUUUUGGGUGAAAUUGCUACGAAGUUUAAGGAUUUUCUUGUAAUAUACGACAAUUGGAGACUAGUUCCAUCGACCAGAAAAAAUGAAUUUUUUGGGAAUAAAAUAAAGGUAUUAUUGAUAAA